CUGUUCUUGUGUCAGUUUUUAACAGCACUGUAACAAAGAAGAUUAGCAUAGCCUCUGCACAAGGACAUACAAAUUCAUAAAGCAUUCCAUACCUCU
rnacentral:snRNA from 1 species